rnacentral:rRNA from 1 species
GUUAUAUGAUCAAGUAAUUAAGAGCACAAGGCGGAUGCCUUGGCAGCUGAAGGCGAUGAAGGACGUAGUAACUUGCGAUAAGCUUCGGGGAGGUGGUAAACAACCUUUGAUCCGGAGAUUUCCGAAUGGGGGAACCCAGUGUGCAUAAGCACAUUAUCUUAUACUGAAUACAUAGGUAUAUGAAGCAAACCUAGGGAACUGAAACAUCUAAGUACCUAGAGGAAAAGAAAUCAAUAGAGAUUCCGGUAGUAGCGGCGAGCGAAACCGGACCAGCCCUUAAGCUUUUUUAAGAUUAGCAAAACAGACUGGAAAGUCUGGCCAUAGUAGGUGAUAGCCCUGUAUGCGAAAAUCUUUUAAGAGUGAAAUCGAGUAGGUCGGAACACGUGAAAUUCUGACUGAAUAUGGGGGGACCAUCCUCCAAGGCUAAAUACUCUCAGCUGACCGAUAGUGAACUAGUACCGUGAGGGAAAGGCGAAAAGAACCCCGG